rnacentral:rRNA from 1 species
UACGUAGGGUGCGAGCGUUGUCCGGAAUUACUGGGCGUAAAGAGCUCGUAGGUGGUUUGUCGCGUUGUUCGUGAAAACCGGGGGCUUAACCCUCGGCGUGCGGGCGAUACGGGCAGACUUGAGUACUGCAGGGGAGACUGGAAUUCCUGGUGUAGCGGUGGAAUGCGCAGAUAUCAGGAGGAACACCGGUGGCGAAGGCGGGUCUCUAGGCAGUAACUGACGCUGAGGAGCGAAAGCGUGGGGAGCGAACAGG